AUGCGAGUCAGCUUAUACGCUGAUGACGCCGUCAUUUUCGCAAACCCAGUGAAGGAGGAAGUGGAUGCACUGCUGCACUUGCUCAGCAGAUUCGGGGAAGCCACGGGACUGAGGUUAAACCAGGCUAAAUCUGCAGUCAUCCCAAUCAACUGUGCUGAUGUUCAGUUAGAUGUGGUUCUGCAAAACUUUGGGGGGCUGCACUCCACGUUCCCAACCACAUACCUGGGACUGCCAAUCUCUCCAAGGAAGCUAAGGCUGGUGCAUUUCCAAUUUAUCAUCGACCGGAUACGCUCAAGGUUGGCUGGGUGGAAGGGCAAGCUGAUGAACAUGGCAGGAAGAAGAGUACUGGUGCGUGCCGUUCUGACGGUGCUGCCGGUGUUUGCAAUGACUGUCCUCAAAGUGCCGAAAAAGAUCCUGAAAGACGUGGACAAAGCAAGGAGGCAGUUUUUAUGGGCUCAUGAUGAGAAUGUCACCGGCGCCAAAUGCAAGGUGGCCUGGGGCAAAGUCUGUCUUCCGGUGGACAAGGGGGGGCUUGGUUUGCUAGAUCUACAUCGCUUCAGCACAGCUCUCCGGCUGCGCUGGUUUGUGGCUCUCAUGGCAACAGCCACGCCGGACUUGGAUGAACUUCCCGGCCCCAUGUGUCAAGGAGGACCUGGAGCUGUUUGCAUCGGCCACCAACGUGCACUUGGGCAACGGAAAAACAGCGCUUUUCUGGACUUGCAAAUGGAUCGGGCCGGUGGCGCUGCAACACGAGUUCCCCGCCUUGUUUCAGCAUUCCAGAAGGAAAAACAGGACAGUUCAAGACGCGCUGGCAAAUGA
rnacentral:rRNA from 1 species